rnacentral:rRNA from 1 species
GUGCCAGCGCGGUAAUACGGGGGGAGCAAGCGUUGUUCGGAUUUACUGGGCGUAAAGGGCGCGUAGGCGGUCGUGACAAGUCACUUGUGAAAUCUCCGGGCUUAACUCGGAACGGUCAAGUGAUACUGUCGGACUAGAGUACAGAAGGGGCAACUGGAAUUCUCGGUGUAGCGGUGAAAUGCGUAGAUAUCGAGAGGAACACCUGCGGCGAAGGCGGGUUGCUGGGCUGAUACUGACGCUGAGGCGCGAAAGCCAGGGGAGCGAACGGG